rnacentral:ncRNA from 3 species
UACGUAGGGGGCAAGCGUUGUCCGGAUUUAUUGGGCGUAAAGAGCGUGUAGGCGGCCAAGCAGGUCCGCUGUGAAAACUCGAGGCUCAACCUCGAGACGUCGGUGGAAACCGUUUGGCUAGAGUCCGGAAGAGGAGAGUGGAAUUCCCGGUGUAGCGGUGAAAUGCGCAGAUAUCGGGAAGAACACCCGUGGCGAAGGCGGCUCUCUGGGACGGUACUGACGCUGAGACGCGAAAGCGUGGGGAGCGAACAGG